GAGAGAGACAGACAGCAGUAGCCAGAUGGAACCUAGUUUGUUUUGAAGUAGCUGCUGCUAAGAGCAGGACAGUCUGUCGGCUCUAGUGUGGUGUGUGUGUUUGUUUGUGUGUGUGUGUGUGUGUGUAUGAGGGGAAGAGCUCAUUACACCCUGCUUGGAGGAGGACAGCAACCCCCUGUUUUUUGCUUAUGUGGACAGAUCUCAUGUUGUAAGUGUGCUGCUCAGUGUGGAGGCCCUCUGUGCAGCUCAAGGUCAGGAAGAUCCAGCAGGAACCAUCCCGUCUCGGGAUCCCGGAUCUUGGGACUCACAGAGGCGGGUGGACACAAGUUUCCCUGUUCCUCGAUUAUAGGAGCACUAUGCAGGGCUACGGGACUCUGUAGAGGAUAUGAGGCCUGAACUACUGUCAAAACCUUCUACAACAGAAUCAGUUCUCCCAGCCUGAUCCUGUGUCAGAGACUAAGGGAAUGGGCCCAGCCUCACUGCAGGGGGAGAGAGAGCCGGAGGAAGGGUCCAAGGGGGAAAUGGAGGGCUACCGCUGCCUUCUGCAGGCUGGAUCCCAGCUGGAGAGCACUCUGCAGCAGGUGACUGUCCCAGUAAGCUUGAAGGAGGUGGGAGGCUACAUAGAGAAACAGGUGGCAUACCUGUCAGGGGGCCGUGGGGAAGACUCCAGUGUCAUCAUCACCCUCCCAGAGUGCUCUGCUUUCAGUGACAUUCCCGAGAAAGCUUUAGCCAAAGUCUUUACAUACCUCACACUCAUCCCUCGAACCAGACAACCCGGAGUCAAAUUUAUCAUCAUUUUAGACCGAAGACUGGAUACAUGGGCCUCUAUCAAAACUGCACUUGCCAGGAUAGCAGCCUCCUUUCCUGGGAACCUUCACUUGGUCUUGGUGCUUCGACCCACCAGCUUCUUCCACCGCACUGUUACUGAUAUUGGCUUUCGCUUCAGCCAAGAGGACUUCAUGCUCAAGAUGCCAGUGGUGAUGCUGAGCUCGGUCACAGACCUGCUGCACUACAUCAAUGAAAACCAGCUGACUUCCGAGUUUGGAGGCACUUUGGACUAUUGUCAUAGUGACUGGAUUGUUUUACGAACAGCUAUUGAAAGUUUUGCUGUCACAGUCAAAGACAUUGCCCAGAUGCUGCAGGGCUUUGGCACAGAGCUGGCAGAGACGGCGCUGUCUGAUGAGGGGAAAGCCAUUGAGUAUCUCCUCGAGUCUCACACUGACAAGUACAGGAAACUUAAGGAUGCAAUCAGGUCCGUGUCAAAGGAAGGUCGACAUCUUCUCGCAAGCCUGGAGAGCUCAGGGAAGGAGGAUGACUCCCAGUGGGAUGUGAGGCUGGACUGGGAGACAGUACAGAGGCUUCUUGCUCAGCUCAGAGACAUGGAGUCAGCCUUUGAUGGCUUCUUUGAGAAGCAUCAUCUGAAACUCCAUCAGUACCUUCAAUUACUUAGAUACGAACAAAGCUUUCAGGAGAUGGAAUUGUGUCUGGAGCAUCUGAUGGGUCAGGAGAGGGAGCUGUCCAUAUCUGUUGACACUCUGAUCCAAACAGAACAGGCUCUCAAAAGGUUGGACAGUCUAGAAUCAAAUGCACAGGAGGUGAUGUCUCGAGCUCAGAUCAUCAUCCUUCAUGGACACCAGCUAUCAGCCGGUCACCACUAUGCCAUGGCUCUUAUAAUGCAGCGCUGCAACGAGCUUCGCCACUACUGUGAUACACUCAAUGCUGCUCUAAAGACCAAACACACUCGUCUUUUGCAAACACACCAGCUGCUGCUUUGUCUUGAACAGGCCCACACUUGGUGUGAUGAUGGAGCGUAUCUGUUGGCCAAUCAGCUGAUAGAUAAGUACCAGUCUAAGGAGGGGGCCCAGGCUGCUUUGAGGGACAUAGAACAGUUUCUAGAGGGAGCUCCGUCUAUGCUUAGCUUAGGACCUGACAUCCUGGCCAUUGAGUACGAGGCUGUCAUCACUCCUCAGCUGCAGGCCCAGAUAGGCAAAACGCUUGACAAGCAUGCGACAGUGCAGCAGAUGAUCCAGAGCCGACAGGCUUCUUUAAGAAAGCUGGCUGAUAAACAUGUGCGACCGAUCCAACUGGUUGCCCCCAGGCCGGAAAACCCACCACGUGCCAAGUCCCCGCUCUUCUCCCCCAAACAUGGUGAUGGUUUGAAGUUUACAUUUGACCUCUCCCUGCCUGGGAAGAGAGCCUCCCGAAAGAGCCCCAACCCUAGAAAAAUAGAGGUGAUCCACGACUACCAGGAGAGCUGGAGCUACGUUUCGAAAAAUCUGGAUGGAGAGGACAGCCCUGAUCUCUUGAAGCGUCAUGUCAUGAGGGAACUCAUAGAGACAGAAAGAAUCUAUGUGGAAGAGUUGCUGUCAGUUCUGCUGGGUUACAGGGCUGAGAUGGACAACCCAGCUCUGUCAGGACUUCUGCCCCCGAUCCUGCACAGCAAGAGAGACAUCCUCUUUGGAAACAUGCCUGAGAUCUACAACUUUCACAGCAGGGUUUUCCUUCAGGACCUGGAAGGAUGCCUGGAGGCUCCUGAAAGUGUGGGAGCUUGUUUUCUAGAGCGGAAAGAGAGUUUCCAAAUGUAUGAAUGCUACUGUCAGAAUAAGCCACGCUCUGAGGCCCUGUGGAGACAAUUCUCAGACUGUGGCUUCUUUCAGGAGUGUCAAAUAAAGCUGGAGCAAAAACUGUGCCUGGAUUCCUACCUGUUGAAACCAGUCCAACGCCUCACCAAAUACCAGCUGCUGCUUAAGGAACUUCUGAAACACAGUCCUGAUUGUGAGGGGACUUCAGAACUGCAGGGGGCAUUAACAGCAAUGCUGGACCUGUUAAAAUCAGUCAAUGACUCUAUGCAUCAGAUAGCCAUCACAGGAUAUGAGGGUGACAUUUGCGAGCUGGGCCGUGUGUUGAUGCAGGGUUCGUUCAGUGUGUGGAUCAGCCAUAAGAAAGGGCCCACACGCAUGAAGGAGCUUGCUCGCUUCAAGCCGAUGCAGAGACACCUCUUCUUGUAUGAGAGAGUUCUGCUCUUCUGCAAGCGGAGGGAGGAGCACGGAGACGGAUGCGACAAAACCCCCUGCUACAGCUUCAAGCACUGUCUCAAGAUGACUGCUGUGGGCAUCACAGAGAACGUCAAGGGAGAUGUGAAGAAGUUUGAGAUCUGGUACAGUGGCAGGGAGGAAGUGUAUGUGGUUCAGGCUCCUACACUGGAGGUGAAGAUGGCCUGGCUCAAUGAGCUACGCAGAAUCCUGACUAACCAGCAGAAGCUGCUCAGAGAUGAAGCAUAUCAACAAGGCCAAAUGGUUGGACACAUACCGCUUUCUCCACCACUCUCUGAGAGCAAGCAGCAGAGGGUGUCAGUGAGCUCGGAGGACACUGAGUCAGGGAGGAGCAGUCCAGACCCCCAGCCUCACUCCCCUAAACACCAGCACAACCGCAAGACAGUUCAGGUGUACUUUAACCUGAAGAACCAGGUACUUCAAGGAAUUUUGGGGAAAAAGGUCCAACCACUGAGAUUAGCUUUUGAUUCUACGUUCUUGUUUAUUUCCCAGUUGGCCAGGAGCUCAUCACUCGGUAGACAUCUGCGAGGGUCUGGAGAAGUGGUCUGGAGGUCGGGACACCUUCCACCCAUCUGACACAGAGGAGGAGGUUUUGGUGCAACUGUCUCCAGGCAGAUACAGAGCUCUGGCUGACUGCCUUCAAAAUGGACCAGACAGCAUUACCAUCAAAUGUGGAGACGUCAUCCAACUGCAGUGUGAAGACAACAAGGGACACUGGCUGGUGAAAAACCUGAGUCGGCAACUGGAGGGCUUCAUAGCCGCUGCCACCCUGCAGCUGAUUCCAGUAGACAGCAGUUGAGCACACUUCUCCAGACUACGGGGUAAAGGAAAGACAUGGACUUCCAAGAUGACAAUACAAUGUUGCGCCAUAGUAUUUCUUUACUUUCAUUAUUGUUUUUAAAGUGUGUAUAUUUUCUUGUAGACCCACGGAACCUGCCGCCGAGAAAGCUCAGCUCCCCGUAGAGGAGAAAUCACAGAAUGUGAUUCUAAUGUGUACCUGUGGAGGAUAAACAGAAGGAAAAGGUUGAGCCAUAGCUGUCUCAUAAGUGAUCAGCCACCCACUCCUCACUCCCUGGUGACGUCUGCUUUCUCCAGCACAAUCAUUAAAGAGAAAUGUGUGGGAAUCUAGAUACCUGAUUUUCUUCCAGGUUAUGAUUGACAAUCUACUGGGCUGGAGUUUUCUGAUUGUGAAGGUGUGCUGUGGCACCAGUGCAAAGGCUCAGGAACUGUUUAGCCCUCUUGGACAAUCAACAGCCGAUUUUUGGACCCUGAUUAGUCUUCCUCUUUUCUGAUUGGUGUGGAGAAUCUUCCAUUUGUAACACACAUAAAGUCAGGAUGUGAGGUUGCUGCUCUACCAGUUUGUCAUUUCUCAAACAUUGUAACCCUUCCUCAUUUGAGCUUGUGUUCGGGAUUGUAGUAUCUCCGAGUGUGUGUGUUCCUGUUUGUCUUACUGUGUGCUGGAUAAAUAGCAGCCCAGGGUUUUCCUGAAACAUUUCUUAAAAAAAACAUUUGUACAUAUACUGUAUCUUUUUUUUUAAGAUAGGAUUUUUUUUUUUUUCUUUAUUAAAGUUGAUUAGCGGGAUGACAUGUAGUAAAGGGCCGCAAGUCGGAUUUGAACCUAGGCUGCUGCAGGACUCAGCCAACAUGGGGUAAACGCUCUUACUGGGUGAGCUAGAGGUCACCCCACUGUGUCAUUUUAACAUUUAUUGUAACUCAGUGUUUCAUCUUUGUGUAGUUAGUUGACAUUUGUCCAUUGUAUUUUUCUUACAUCUCAUUCCUUAAGUCACCAAUCUUCUGUAUAGUCUAGGAGAUAGAAUGCCAAAAUGUGCCAUGCCAUAAUGCCUUUUUUAUUCCUGCUUUCUUGGAGCCUAUUGUAUGUACUGUUUGCAAAAUCAAAUACUUUGUUAUUGCUUUAACCUGACCUCACAGAUAUCCAACAGACACUUUAAUCAGGUGGAUAGACGUGAAAAUCAAAAAAUCCACCUAUUGUCUACCGAAUGUCUGCUUUUCUUGCUGCUUUACCUCUCUUACUGUGUAUUUCCUCUCAGUCAUGCUGUUACUUCCUUUGUUUAUUAUUGAAUGUAUUAUGUGUUAGAAAGACAAGGGAGACAUAACCCUCUGCAUGCAGGCAGCAGUUGACAUGUCAGUGAAGGUACUGUAAGACAUGAGCGGACAUGAUGAAGAUUGAUGGUAAUGUAUUCCUCAGUGUAGAAGAAACAGAGAGGGAGAGAGAGUUUAUCCUCCAUGUACCCCUCCCUCGCGAAGGCAGAUUGCUUCCUACUCACCAUUACAGAACAGUUAAUCUCAAGUUCCCCAUUAAAAGCGAUCACACAGCCAACAUGAAAUAUACCCUCUGUGUCGAACGCUUAAUUAAAUAUUGAUUGCAGACUUAUAUGAAUUUACCACGUAAAAUCGAGGCCCCGGUCGGAGGGCUGCUUUUGAUUCGCUGUGUUUGAUAUGGUAAUGAGUCUAUAAAGCAGCAGGAGCUGCUCUGCACUGCACUUUUCCUAUGUUUAUUUAUUUUGCUGUCAUGUGGUUUUGCAGCUCCGAAUGAAAUUACAUAUCUAUAUUUUUUACAGGAGCUACGCUUGACAGCACAUCAAAACCCCAUUUUAUUUAUUUUUUAGCUUAUAUGAUGAAGUCCUAUGGCUUCUUUGCAACUUUAAUCCAAAAUACUGCAGAUUUUGCACAGAUUUUCCUGGUUGGAAAACAAAACAAAGAAACCUGCUUAAAAUAUGUGUGUGUCCUGAUGAGCCAAGUUGCCUGAGCUUAUCGCUGAAUGUUUCUUUAAGGUGAAAAUGCAUGGUAACUGAACAAGGUUUUGUAUUGUUAGACAGUCACAGUCACUAACCCUAACCCUUAAACAUGCUUAGCAAUAACUGUUUUGGUAAUUGAAAUAAUUCAAUACAUGUUUUAACAUGGUGAUACGUUUGGCUGUAAACAAAGGCUGUUCCUUUUCAUGUACCCUGAUGUACUCUUUAUUAUGUGUUCUUGUUUUUAUGGAAGCCAAUUAACAUAAUAAAGUUGUGCAGACUUUU